rnacentral:rRNA from 1 species
CCUACGGGAGGCAGCAGUGAGGAAUAUUGGUCAAUGGACGAGAGUCUGAACCAGCCAAGUAGCGUGAAGGAUGACUGCCCUAUGGGUUGUAAACUUCUUUUAUAAAGGAAUAAAACGAGGCACGUGUGCCUUUUUGCAUGUACUUUAUGAAAAAGCAUCGGCUAACUCCGUGCCAGCAGCCGCGGUAAUAGGGAGGAUGCGAGCGUUAUCCGGAUUUAUGGGGUUUAAAGGGUGCGCAGGCGGCCUGUUAAGUCAGCGGUAAAAGCCCGGGGCUCAACCCCGGCGAGCCGUUGAAACUGGGGGGCUGGAGUUGGAGAGAAGUACGCGGAAUGCGCGGUGUAGCGGUGAAAUGCUUAGAUAUCGCGCAGAACCCCGAUUGCGAAGGCAGCGUACCGGCUCCACACUGACGCUGAGGCACGAAAGCGUGGGUAUCGAACAGGAUUAGAUACCCUAGUAGUC